AUUGAACGCUGGCGGCAUGCCUUACACAUGCAAGUCGAACGGCAGCGGGGGAGAAGCUUGCUUUUCCUGCCGGCGAGUGGCGAACGGGUGAGUAAUACAUCGGAACGUGCCCUGUAGUGGGGGAUAACUAGUCGAAAGAUUAGCUAAUACCGCAUACGACCUGAGGGUGAAAGGGGGGGACCGCAAGGCCUCAUGCUAUAGGAGCGGCCGAUGUCUGAUUAGCUAGUUGGUGGGGUAAAGGCCUACCAAGGCGACGAUCAGUAGCUGGUCUGAGAGGACGAUCAGCCACACUGGGACUGAGACACGGCCCAGACUCCUACGGGAGGCAGCAGUGGGGAAUUUUGGACAAUGGGCGAAAGCCUGAUCCAGCAAUGCCGCGUGUGUGAAGAAGGCCUUCGGGUUGUAAAGCACUUUUGUCCGGAAAGAAAUGGCUCUGGUUAAUACCUGGGGUCGAUGACGGUACCGGAAGAAUAAGGACCGGCUAACUACGUGCCAGCAGCCGCCGUAA
rnacentral:rRNA from 1 species